GAUGGCAGUAUUUCACCAAUGAGCAUAUCAGCUGCAGUAAAUCCUCAAAGAAGAAGUAUCUUGUCCCACAGUCCUCUCUCUGGUGGUAAAGUGACCUCUGGCUGUUAGCCUGCUGUAAAACUAUGGCGCCUCCAGUUGCAGUGUCGCCUUUGAUUAAGACCGCAAGGUAUUCAGCUCUGAUUGCUGGCAUCAUCUAUGGCAAAAAAAGAUAUGAAAACCUGAAGCCAAUUGCAGCUGAAGAGAGGAGGAUUGAGGAGGAGGAGAAAAAGAUUCGUGAAGAGCAGGAGCGCAUUGCCAAGGCGCUCGCAGAAGCAAGUGAAGAUACUAUUCUGAAGUAAAGCUGGUGUGCCGUCUGAGGAUGUCCCUGUGCAAUUCCCAACAUCUCCUUCCUUUUUUCCUGGAGUAACAAUGGCAAAGUCGGGUCCCAAGCAGUCAAACACUCCCGCGUUGUGGACCUACUCACUGUUACCUUGUAUGAUACAACAACUCUCUGGCAUGCCAGAUACAGUGAUUAUGAGUUAGUUACAUGAUCUAAAAUAAAGCUCUUGGACUCAGCAUUGUAAUACUGCAAAUGCAGCCGCAUAAGUUAUAACGUUCAUGUUUGUAAUGAAAUGUCAUAAAUACAAAGGAUACAUGAU